UACGGAGGGGGCUAGCGUUAUUCGGAAUUACUGGGCGUAAAGCGUGCGCAGGCGGUUAUGUAAGACAGAUGUGAAAUCCCCGGGCUCAACCUGGGAAUUGCGAUGGAGACUGCAAGGCUAGAGUUUGGCAGAGGGGGGUAGAAUUCCACGUGUAGCAGUGAAAUGCGUAGAUAUGCGGAGGAACACCGAUGGCGAAGGCAAUCCCCUGGACCUGUACUGACGCUCAUGCACGAAAGCGUGGGGAGCAAACAGG
rnacentral:rRNA from 1 species